rnacentral:rRNA from 1 species
AUUGAACGCUGGCGGCAGGCUUAACACAUGCAAGUCGAGCGGAGAGAGGUAGCUUGCUACCGAUCUUAGCGGCGGACGGGUGAGUAAUGCUUAGGAAUCUGCCUAUUAGUGGGGGACAACAUUUCGAAAGGAAUGCUAAUACCGCAUACGUCCUACGGGAGAAAGCAGGGGAUCUUCGGACCUUGCGCUAAUAGAUGAGCCUAAGUCGGAUUAGCUAGUUGGUGGGGUAAAGGCCUACCAAGGCGACGAUCUGUAGCGGGUCUGAGAGGAUGAUCCGCCACACUGGGACUGAGACACGGCCCAGACUCCUACGGGAGGCAGCAGUGGGGAAUAUUGGACAAUGGGCGCAAGCCUGAUCCAGCCAUGCCGCGUGUGUGAAGAAGGCCUUAUGGUUGUAAAGCACUUUAGGCGAGGAGGAGGCUACUUUAGUUAAUACCUAGAGAUAGUGGACGUUACUCGCAGAAUAAGCACCGGCUAACUCUGUGCCAGCCGCCGCCGUAAUAC